rnacentral:rRNA from 1 species
AACACGUAGGAAUCUGCCCUAGAGAGGGGGACAACCCGAGGAAACUCGGGCUAAUACCGCAUAUUACUCUUUGGAGGAAAUGCUGGGUAGCAAUACCUGGCGCUUUAGGAGGAGCCUGCGUCCGAUUAGCUAGUUGGUUAGGUAAAGGCUGACCAAGGCGAUGAUCGGUAGCUGGUCUGAGAGGAUGAUCAGCCACACUGGGACUGAGACACGGCCCAG